rnacentral:rRNA from 1 species
AUGAACGCUAGCGACAGGCCUAACACGUGCAAGUCAGGGGCAGCACAAGGAGCAAUCUGAGGUGGCGACCGGCGCACGGGUGAGUAACACGUAUGCAACCUGCCUGUAAGCGGGGAAUAACCCGUUGAAAGACGGACUAAUACCGCAUAAUACUAAAUUACUGCAUGGUAAUUAUUUAAACAUUUAUGGCUUACAGAUGGGCAUGCGCAUGAUUAGCUAGUUGGAGAGGUAACGGCUCCCCAAGGCAACGAUCAUUAGGGGUUCUGAGAGGAAGGUCCCCCACACUGGUACUGAGACACGGACCAGACUCCUACGGGAGGCAGCAGUGAGGAAUAUUGGUCAAUGGACGAGAGUCUGAACCAGCCAAGUCGCGUGCAGGAAGAAUGUCCUAUGGAAUUGUAAACUGCUUUUGCAGGGGAAUAAAGUGCAUCACGUGUGAUGUUUUGUAUGCACUCUGCGAAUAAGGAUCGGCUAACUCCGUGCCAGCAGCUGC